rnacentral:rRNA from 1 species
UACGGGGGGGGCAAGCGUUGUUCGGAAUUACUGGGCGUAAAGGGCUCGUAGGCGGCCAACUAAGUCAGACGUGAAAUCCCUCGGCUUAACCGGGGAACUGCGUCUGAUACUGGAUGGCUUGAGUUUGGGAGAGGGAUGCGGAAUUCCAGGUGUAGCGGUGAAAUGCGUAGAUAUCUGGAGGAACACCGGUGGCGAAGGCGACAUCCUGGACCAACACUGACGCUGAGGAGCGAAAGCCAGGGGAGCAAACGGG